CUGCUCCCUCUGCUCCUGCUGCUCCUGCUGCUCCUGCUGGUCCUGCUGCUCCUGCUGCUCCUGCUGCUCCUGCUGCUCCCGCUGCUCCCCUCUUCUCUGCCGAGGACCAUCACUAUGCCAUCGCACCCGACAACGUGAAGCAGAAGCUGGACGAGGCAUAUCUGCGGAUCGAGGAUCUGCAGAAACAGCUGAGGAACUACAGAGAUCGAAUGAGACGCAAGGAGGCAGAGUUUCGAGUCCUGAUGGGAGAGACGCGGAGGCAGAACGAACUCCUGAGUCAGCUGAUGGACGGCAGUGAGCUCUGGAUCCUCUG
ensembl:lncRNA